rnacentral:lncRNA from 1 species
CAAAGGAUCAAAAUCAAGAAAUCAAAGCUAGAAAAGGUAAAAACCCUAAAUUCUAGAAAUCCUUCGAUUCGAUGUUAAUUGGUGCAAUUGAUUGUUUAAAGUUGUGUAAUAGGGAGUCUAUUAAUGUUCUGGGAUGUUUAAUUCAGGACCCAUAACAUCAAAGUGCUCAAAAUCAAAAUUUUUCCAACUUUUGUAAAACCGAAUUCUGUUAUUUUUGAGCAAAUGUCAAGCCUUAUAUCUCUGUGCUUAUUUACUGUUUUUGGUGUUUGUAAGAUGUUAUGUGUAUCUUCUUAUGAGGUCUUUAAGAUGAAAAAAUAAUCAAGGCCAUAUCUAUUAUAUAUCACACGAUAUAAACGGUCAAAACCCCAUUGACCAAAACUGCCAAAAUCGCGAAUCCAGAAAUUUUGUGCACAAUUUCCGUGGUGCACUUUGACUGGAGAUUUUUGGUUAGAUCUGAUGGUAUUAUGUUGAUAUUAAGGUUUGAUGUUGUAGUCCUACAUGUUGUAUACACACUGGAAGUGAUAGAACACAAAAUUGUUACACGAUCACCAAGUUAUAGAGGUCCAAAGUAGGCACCUCGAAGCUGUUUUUCGUGAAGAACAGCUUUGGCAACUACUUUGAGGUUCGAUUUCUCCCAUAUCUGAUGUUGUUUAGAGGUCAUGUUUGUUGGAUCUUGUAGUCUUGUAUUUCCUCUACCAGACCCAAUUUAUAGAUUGUCCAAAUUCGUUAAGAUGAGAGAGUUACUCACGGUCAAAGUAGCCCACUCGGUUCUGCCUUAUGAAGAUCUGGGUAGGCUCAAGAACACCUAUAGCGACGGUUCUGUCACUAUAGGGGCCUUUAGCGACAGUUUUAAUUAUUUUAAUUUCUG